GCGCCCGUAGCUCAGCUGGAUAGAGCGUCUGGCUACGAACCAGAAGGUCGGCAGUUCGAAUCUGUCCGGGCGCACCA
rnacentral:tRNA from 1 species